AGGAAGGUGGGGAUGACGUCAAGUCAGCAUGGCCUUAUACCCUGGGCUACACACACGCUACAAUGGGUGGUACAAUUGGUUGCGACAGAGCGAUCUGGAGCUAAUCUAUAAAGCCAUCCUCAGUUCGGAUUGCAGGCUGCAACUCGCCUGCAUGAAGCCGGAGUUGCUAGUAACCGCAGGUCAGCAUACUGCGGUGAAUACGUUCUCGGGCCUU
rnacentral:rRNA from 1 species